UGGGGAAUAUUGCACAAUGGGCGCAAGCCUGAUGCAGCGACGCCGCGUGAGGGAUGACGGCCUUCGGGUUGUAAACCUCUUUCGCCAGGGACGAAGCGCAAGUGACGGUACCUGGUAAAGAAGCACCGGCCAACUACGUGCCAGCAGCCGCGGUAAUACGUAGGGUGCGAGCGUUGUCCGGAAUUACUGGGCGUAAAGAGCUCGUAGGCGGUUUGUCACGUCGUCUGUGAAAUCCUGCAACUCAAUUGUAGGCGUGCAGGCGAGACGGGCAGACUUGAGUACGACAGGGGAGACUGGAAUUCCUGGUGUAGCGGUGAAAUGCGCAGAUAUCAGGAGGAACACCGGUGGCGAAGGCGGGUCUCUGGGUAGUAACUGACGCUGAGGAGCGAAAGCGUGGGGAGCAAACA
rnacentral:rRNA from 1 species